rnacentral:lncRNA from 1 species
UUUGUUUGAAUCUAGCGCAGAGGUGUCCUGUGGAGAGUUAAAGUGAUGGUUCACCUAAAAAUGACUUUUCACUUACUCAGAAGAAACUCAUUGGGAAGUUGUCAAACUUGUCUGAACACAAGACAUUUGAACAAUGUUGGUAAUAAAACCGUUUUCAGAAGUCUGUAGCUAUACUCUGCUAAUCUUGGGCUUUGACUGGGACCUAAAUUUGACCAAAGGACAAAGUGACUCCACCCUCUAUCAACUUGGAGGGAGGUGUUGGAGCGCAGGUAAGAUGGACAACAUUGAGCUGGAUGUAAUGUUAUUCUCCUUUAAGGAUUGAUGCCCGCUCGUUGGCUUUGCGGUCCAUGUUGAUGUGGCUCAUGCAAGAGUUCUAAGCCCUUCUAGCCUUGUUUGACCUUAAAUGGCUAAAUGCUACAACUCUGUUGUACCUCAUUUAUACAGAAGUCUCAAUAUUCUUGUUUCUUUAAAUUAGUUAAUGAGUUAAUUGUUACAAUCAGGUACUGACAAGGCCAUAGGAACAUUCUCCAGUAGCUGCCUAGGUGAGGAGUCCCUCAUGAACUGAAGACUAACCAGUGUCCCUUGCAAUGUUUCCAACACCUGGCAUAUUGGGCUCGUUGCUGGGUCAACAGCUUUAAGGUGUGUUACUUGAAAAUGAAGGCAGAAUGGUUCAUUUGGAUCAUCGCUACCAACUGCAACCCAUCAAGUUGCAUUUCUGACAAGUUGCUCUGGUGUAGUGAUUGACUUAUUUGGUUUUGUAAUUGAAUUGUACUUAUUCGUGAUUUUAUUGUAUUAUGCAUUACUGCUUCCCUUAUUGUAAACUUUUUUUUUAUUUAUUUUUUUUGUCUAUGUACUGUUUUUGUGCACAUCACCCAUAUCUUAGUUUUUACUGCUGUUUUGCACAGUCAUAGCCCUGAAGCUGAAACCACUCUCUGCUCACCUUUAGCUUGACAGAACUGAAUUCUACUACAGGACAUGCUGACACAUCUGCAGUUUGUCCCAGAGCCCACAUCAUAACCAGGAAGGGCAAUGCAAAUAACUCCUUUUGAAUCUUCAUGUGCCAUAUUGUCAGCUGGGCAUCCUGGAGGAGCUAAAUGUGCUCUUACCCUGUUCCCUGGGGCCUGUUCUUUGUACGUCGCUAACUCUGUUAGCUGGAUUUGAUUGUUGAUUAUUUGGCAUGAUCUUGGAUUAUUUGGUUCUUCGAAGCUCAUCCUGGUAUUGAUGAUUUGGCAUGAUCUUGGAUUAUUUGGCUCUUCGAAGCUCAUCCUGGACUUGCUAUCAUAGCAACAGGUCCGUAAGCUUAAACCUGCUUGGGAGCAGGCUUAUUUCAUGUAAAUCGGAUUAGAUGGCAUCUUUUCAAGUGGAAUUGAUGUUGAAAAUCUAUCCCAGCC